rnacentral:rRNA from 1 species
ACGUAGGGGGCAAGCGUUAUCCGGAUUUACUGGGUGUAAAGGGAGCGUAGACGGUUAAGCAAGUCAGAAGUGAAAGGCUGGGGCUCAACCCCGGGACUGCUUUUGAAACUGUUUAACUAGAGUGCUGGAGAGGUAAGCGGAAUUCCUAGUGUAGCGGUGAAAUGCGUAGAUAUUAGGAGGAACACCAGUGGCGAAGGCGGCUUACUGGACAGUAACUGACGUUGAGGCUCGAAAGCGUGGGGAGCAAACAG